GCUACCAUGCAAGUCGAACGGGGUAUUUAUUUCGGUAGAUACCUAGUGGCGAACGGGUGAGUAACGCGUGAGCAACCUGACCUUUUGAGGGGGAUAACAACCGGAAACGGUUGCUAAUACCGCAUAAGACCACACCGUCACAUGACAGAGAGGUCAAAGGAGAAAUCCGCAAAAGGAGGGGCUCGCGUCCCAUUAGAUAGUUGGUGAGGUAACGGCUCACCAAGUCAGCGAUGGGUAGCCGAGCUGAGAGGCUGAACGGCCACACUGGAACUGAGACACGGUCCAGACUCCUACGGGAGGCAGCAGUGGGGAAUAUUGGGCAAUGGGGGCAACCCUGACCCAGCAACGCCGCGUGAGUGAAGAAGGCCUUCGGGUUGUAAAGCUCUGUCGCAGGGGAAGAAAAAAAUGACGGUACCCUGUGAGGAAGCCCCGGCUAACUACGUGCCAGCAGCCGCGGUAAUACGUAGGGGGCGAGCGUUGUCCGGAAUUACUGGGCGUAAAGGGUGCGUAGGUGGCUAUUUAAGUUGGAUGUGAAAUCCCCGGGCUUAACCUGGGUGGUGCAUUCAAAACUGGGUGGCUAGAGUGCAGGAGAGGGAAGCGGAAUUCCUAGUGUAGCGGUGAAAUGCGUAGAUAUUAGGAGGAACACCAGUGGCGAAGGCGGCUUUCUGGACUGUAACUGACACUGAGGCACGAAAGCGUGGGGAGCAAACAGGAUUAGAUACCCUGGUAGUCCACGCUGUAAACGAUGAAUACUAGGUGUAGGGGGUAUGAACUCCCCCUGUGCCGCAGCUAACGCAAUAAGUAUUCCGCCUGGGGAGUACGGCCGCAAGGUUGAAACUCAAAGGAAUUGACGGGGGCCCGCACAAGCAGCGGAGCAUGUGGUUUAAUUCGAAGCAACGCGAAGAACCUUACCAAGGCUUGACAUCUGCCUAAACUCAUGGAAACAUGAAGGUCCCUUCGGGGGAGGCAAGACAGGUGGUGCAUGGUUGUCGUCAGCUCGUGUCGUGAGAUGUGGGUUAAGUCCCGCAACGAG
rnacentral:rRNA from 1 species